rnacentral:rRNA from 1 species
GACGAACGCUGGCGGCGUGCUUAACACAUGCAAGUCGAACGGAAAGGCCCUGCCUUUGUGGGGUGCUCGAGUGGCGAACGGGUGAGUAACACGUGAGUUACCUGCCCUUGACUUUGGGAUAACUUCAGGCAACUGGGGCUAAUACCGGAUAGGAGCUCCUGCUGCAUGGUGGGGGUUGGAAAGUUUCGGCGGUUGGGGAUGGACUCGCGGCUUAUCAGCUUGAUGGUGGGGUAGUGGCUUACCAAGGCUAUGACGGGUAGCCGGCCUGAGAGGGUGACCGGCCACGCUGGGACUGGGCUGCGACACAGACUCCUACGGGAGGCAGGGGAGGAGAAGAGUGCACUGUGGGCUGGGGCCUGACGUAGCAACGCCGCGUGCGGGAAGACGGCCUGCGGUUUGUGAUCCGAUGUCGCCUGUGACGAAGCGAGAGUGACGGUAAUGGGUAAAGAAGCUCCGGCUAACUACGUG